GGGUCAAUGCUAACCGGAGCCAAAUCCCAUUAGAGCUCCACGUUCUCUGUCCCAGGGUCUCGUGGCCCUGGGGCUGCAUGGGGACAUAGCGUCCGGGCCUGAACCUGGGCAGGCUGGUGGCUGGUCGGCAACCGUCAGAAUGCCGUGGCAAACGGAUGCUGGGUCAGGACAGGUCGCGUGAUCUCCAUCUCGCUGGCUGGGACACUCACUGUGGAAACACCAAGUAAGACCCCAGCGACCCUGAGGCCACCAGGCCAUGAGGAAACCCCGCCCACGAGAAGGGGUCGUGUGCAGCUGCUCUGGUCAGCAGCCCAACCGAGUGUGGCACCAACUGCCGUUGAGGGAAGAAGGGAGAUAUGCUUCGGAACGAGUCCAGGGCCCGACCGUUGAGUCACCCCCGGCUUUUAGUCUUCAGCCUCUGAGGCCCCAGGCAGCCUCCAGGUGUGAAAAGGGCGCUGUUCUCGGGACCAGGCGACCAACGGUAUGACCUUGAACAUGGCUCACAUUCAUAGAGUGGGAGGAGGAAGUCCGCCCUGCCCAUCUCUCAGGCCCUUUGCAGCGCAGCAGUUAACAGGGGAGACCCGCGGCCAGGCUGCCAGGGCUCCAGGCCCAGCUCUUCACCAGCAGCGUGACCUUGGACGGGACACUGGACUUCUCUGUGCACCUGUUCCCACUUGCGUAAAUGGGGACGAUGACAGAGGGCCGCAGAGAGGUUUCUGUGAUGAAAUGCUCAACACCCUGCAGUGGGUGCUCUCGACGGUGGUGAGUGUUACAAACGACUUCGCAAAGAGGAAGAGCCUGCAAUCAGUCCGCUGGGGGUGAGAUAACCCGGAACCUCCGGGCUCUCAAUGGGAGCCCCACAGGGGAAGGUUCAACCAUGAAACCGGAAGGGGCGGGGCAUGAAAAACGCAGGAAUAGACAGCUUUUCUGACGGUCGCUGAUGGGACUCCAGCGACGGCCGUGACCGGCGGGCCCCGUUUCUGGAAAGCCUGGUCCGACUCCGGGUCUGCCACCAACCUGGCCACACGAGGCAGGCUCUCUAGCUGUCAGCCACAUCCUCUGUCAGAUGAGGCUGAGGGCUCAAUGAUGCAUAGUAGGUGCUCAAUGAACGGAGCUGCGGCGAUCCCCUCUACCAGCACGGCUCUCACCCCUGUUUCGGUUUCCCUGGACGGGAAAAGCAGAGAACAACUGCUCCCGCAUACACAUGCCGUUCGCCCAUUAUUUCCGGCUCUCUCCGGGCCUGAAGGCUGGCAUUGCCCGGCGCCCCGGGAGCUGGGGACCAUCAGCUGGGAAUGGAGGUGCCGGGCUGGUCACGUCUGAGCGGACUGAGCAGUCAAGCCCCAGAGCAAGUCCCCGCCGGUGUCUCUGGCGUGCAGCAUGCCACUCAGGACAGGGACUUGGCCAGCCCGGACUCUGCCGACCGUGAAGAGCGGAGCCGCCAGCCCGCCUGCCAUUAACCAGAAGUGAGGGCGAGAAGCAGACCUUUGUUGUUUCCGUCAUUUCAAUCUGGGAGAGGAGCACCUGGUGGCUCAGUCGGCGGAGUGUGUGACCCUUGAUCCUGGGGUUGUGAGUUCGAGCCCCGGGAUGGGUGUAGAGACUACUUAAUAAAAUCUUUUAAAAUAAGGAAAGAUGAGGGAGCUGCUUUUCAACCUCUGGGCCAUUGGCUGCUUGCAUGCCCAUCUCACAGAUAAAGAAAUUGAGGCACAGGGACGCCUGGGUGACUCAGUCAGUUAAG